rnacentral:rRNA from 1 species
AUACGGAGGGUGCGAGCGUUGUUCGGAAUUAUUGGGCGUAAAGAGCAUGUAGGCGGUCUGUUAAGUCUGGUGUGAAAGCCCGGGGCUCAACCCCGGAAGUGCAUUGGAUACUGGCAGACUUGAGUAUGGGAGAGGAAAGCGGAAUUCCGAGUGUAGGAGUGAAAUCCGUAGAUAUUCGGAGGAACACCAGUGGCGAAGGCGGCUUUCUGGACCAAUACUGACGCUGAGAUGCGAAAGCGUGGGGAGCGAACAGGAUUAGAAACCCAAGUAGUCC